GAUGAAGAACGUAGCGAAAUGCGAUACUUGGUGUGAAUUGCAGAAUCCCGCGAAUCAUCGAGUUUUUGAACGCAAGUUGCGCCCGAAGCCAUUCGGCCGAGGGCACGUCUGCCUGGGUGUCACGCAUCGUUGCCCCCCCAAACUCCGGUUCGGGCAGGGCGGAAGUUGGCCUCCCGUGCGUGCCUGCGCGCGCGGUUAGCCCAAAAGCGAGUCCUCGGCGACGAGCGCCACGACAAUCGGUGGUUUUUUUACCCUCGUUCCUCGUCGUGCGUGCCCCGUCGCCCGAACGCGCUCUUGCGACCCUUACGCGUCGCCUCGGCGGCGCUCCAAACGCGACCCCAGGUCAGGCGGGACUACCCGCUGAGUUUAUGCAUAUCAAUAAGCGGAGGA
rnacentral:misc_RNA from 1 species